rnacentral:rRNA from 1 species
AUUGAACGCUGGCGGCAGGCUUAACACAUGCAAGUCGAGCGAGCGGCGGACGGGUGAGUAAUGUCUGGGAAACUGCCUGAUGGAGGGGGAUAACUACUGGAAACGGUAGCUAAUACCGCAUACCAUCAGAUGAACCCAUAUGGGAUUAGCUUGUAGGUGAGGGAACGGCUCACCUAGGCGACGAUCCCUAGCUGGUCUGAGAGGAUGAUCGGCCACACUGGGACUGAGACACGGCCCAGCCUCCUACGGGAGGCAGCAGUGGGGAAUAUUGCGCAAUGGGGGCAACCCUGACGCAGCCAUGCCGCGUGAAUGAAGAAGUCCUUCGGGUUGUAAAGUUCUUUCGGUAGCGAGGCGUUAACUACAGAAGAAGCACCGGCUAACUCCGUGCCAGCAGCCGCGGUAAUAC